GACGUAGGGCGCAAGCGUUGUCCGGAUUUAUUGGGCGUAAAGAGCUCGUAGGCGGCUUGUCGCGUCGACUGUGAAAACCCGUGGCUCAACCAUGUGGUCUGCAGUCGAUACGGGCAGGCUAGAAUUCGGUAGGGGAGACUGGAAUUCCUGGUGUAGCGGUGAAAUGCGCAGAUAUCAGGAGGAACACCGGUGGCGAAGGCGGGUCUCUGGUCCGAUAUUGACGCUGAGGAGCGAAAGCGUGGGGAGCGAACAGG
rnacentral:rRNA from 1 species